AUGCUCUUGGCCAAGGCCAGAGAGAUCUCUGUCUCUCUGCUGGAGUCCACACUCCAUCUCUUGUCGAAGCAAAUUAAAAUGCCUAAACAGUCUCUUGUUUCCAAGGCAUUUCACAAAAAGAAGUCAGUUGUUUGCAAGGAGGAGCAAUUGUUGGGGUUAGAGUGCAGUAUCGGAGAUCUUGAGAGCGGAGCAGGACAUCUGUUCAGGAAAUUUGUCCAGAGCAGAGUUUCUCUACUCAACAUCCUUAGCUCAUAG
rnacentral:rRNA from 1 species